GUGAUGGAGGGGGUCAGGGAGCGGUUGCUGGAAUAGCCUAGAGCUGUCCCUCAUGACAGGCAGCCCGCAGCCCUAGACACGUGGGGCAGAGCCCCGUCGCAGAGCAGGCCCGGCUCGUCGGGAGGGGCCGGACCUCUGCUCAUCUCUGUUCUCGUCACGCCCCCACCCCAGCCCUGAACGAGUGAGUUCUUCCACGGGGAUUCGUUGUCUGCGCUCAGACACCGCCCCACGUGCCCUGCGCUCCGUGGCCCGAGCGGGAGGCCUGCCCUCUGUCCCUGCCCUCCAUUGUCCCCGCACCCAAGCACCUUGUCGUCUCCCGCUGUGUGCUGUCCCCUCUCAUUACAAAACCUGCAGAAAUUCUCUGAAUCGGCUCACCAGUCAUCGUGCUCCCCCCAAGCGCCUACAUGAGCCUCUGGGCCCGAACCACAAGGCGACCACAGCGCAUCAGCGGCUUCUGCUCUGAGCCCCGCCGGGGGCCCCUGCCCCUCCGCUGCCCCAGCCCGCCCUGGGCUCACCACACUUCCUUUUCUCUAAAUCUUAAAAACUAAAGUGGUGCAGAGCAAGGCCUGGGGGUGACAGGCGAGAGCCACGGAGGCGGGCCCGGCAAGGGGGGGCUGAAUCGGCCGGUUCUCGCCACGGUGUUCCUUUUGGCUUCCAGCAAGUACCCUCAGCCAAGGGGCCUCUCGGGAGAGCAGGGAGCGGGGUGUGUGCGCGCGCGCGUGUGUGUGGAACGCGUGCCCUCCACAGAGAGACAGGAACCCAGUACAACACAGAGACGAACUUAUGUGGGAGACACAGUGGGGCCGUUAGUCUCGAGCUUCCUUGCCUUCCUCCUCUGACUUCCCCCUCCUAGCGACGGUCACGAGGACGGCUUUGAGUAACUGCGCAGGAAAUGUUGGUGGAGCAGAUAAUGUAAUCAGCACCCGACGGCCCACUCCUUAGAGGUACCCUGGGCUCAGCAAGCGUGUUAGGGAUUCAGGGACCCCCUCUCCCUCUCUUGCCCCCGGGGUGUGACCAGCGAUGCCUGUACCUGCGCGUUGGAGGCCAGUAAGCAUAAAAAAAAAUUGAAGAGAACACAACUAUUUGCACACAUCUAUUUGCUUGGGCGCGUCCCCAGAAAGGCCAGUUCCUUCCUCAGAAUUGCCCUGGGUUAUCACGCUUGAAGACCUUUAGAGGUCCCAGCUGCUAAAAGUUCCUGCAACUAGUUCCUGGGGUGACUGUCAGCAUGGAGAAGCCAUUUUUCACUUCUAUCUCCAUAAGCAACGUCUCAUCUGUGAAGGCCUGGGGGAGGAGAGCUUGACCCCUUCAGCACUGGUGAGUGUGGAUGAGCUGCCCACCUCUGUUCACCUUCAUUUCCUUACCUGAACAAUGCGCAAACGGCAUAUGCCUUCGUGGGGCCACUGUGGAGACCGGGCCCCCUCCUCGGGCCUCUGCCUGGGCUUUACCCCCAGGCCCGGCCUUCUCAUCCUCCGGCCUCAGCUCCGCCCCAUGCUUUGGAAUAAAAAUACUUUCCAUUCACGUAUUGCUUGGUACCGCGUGCCUCGUGUCAUUUGAUUGUCAGUAACUAUUUCGUUGUAUUUUUUUUUGAAGGUUUAUGUAUUUGUUUUUGAGAAGCAGAGAGAGAGAGAGAGAGAGACAGAGAGAGAGCAGGGAAGAGGCAGAGAGAGAGGGAGAGAGAAUCCCAAGCAGGCACCAUGCGGUCAGCGCAGAGCCCGACAUGGGGCUCGAACUCAAGAACCGUGAGAUGGUGACCUGAGCCGAAACCAAGAGUCAGGUGCUUCACCGACCGAGCCAGCCAGGUGCCCCUGUCAGUAACAGUGUUUUUAAACAGAGAAGGAAGGAUGGAGCCCGGCACCUCCCUUGACUUCGCUCUCCCCCAGCCUCCCCUGCCAUGCAUCACCCACGCUUGCGGAUCUCACCUCCGGAUUUCGUAUCUCUGGGAUGUGCCCCCUACUCUCCCCCUCACUGGUACCCCUCCUCUAAAGCAUCGUCAUCGCCUGUGGGCACCUGGGCCGGCCUCCAGACAGGUCUUGCUGCUACCUGCCUGCUGGGCAAGCUUUAAAAACAUAAAGCUUCCUCCACUCACACCGUCACAUUUAAGAGCCCCAGGCUCCUCACUGC